AAAUAGAAAAUCCUUUAGCUAGAUAAGGGAAGGGGCGGAUGUACCCAAGUGGAUCAAGGCAGU
rnacentral:tRNA from 1 species